rnacentral:rRNA from 2 species
AAACUUUCAACAACGGAUCUCUUGGUUCUCGCAUCGAUGAAGAACGCAGCGAAACGCGAUAGUUAAUGUGAAUUGCAGAAUUCAGUGAAUCAUCGAGUCUUUGAACGCACAUUGCGCCCAUCGGUAUUCCUUUGGGCAUGUCUGUUUGAGCGUCAUU